rnacentral:rRNA from 1 species
UACGAAGGGGGCUAGCGUUGCUCGGAAUUACUGGGCGUAAAGGGUUCGUAGGUGGCUUGCUAAGUCAGACGUGAAAUCCCUCAGCUCAACUGGGGAACUGCGUCUGAGACUGGCGAGCUUGAGUGCAGGAGAGGAAUGCGGAAUUCCAGGUGUAGCGGUGAAAUGCGUAGAUAUCUGGAGGAACACCGGUGGCGAAGGCGGCGUUCUGGACUGCAACUGACACUGAGGAACGAAAGCCAGGGGAGCAAACGGG